rnacentral:rRNA from 1 species
CCCUUAGAUGUUCGGGGCCGCACGCGCGCUACACUGAAUGGAUCAACGUGCCUUUCCCGAGGCUGAAAAGUCGAGGUAAUCCGUUGAACCCCAUUCGUGACGGGGAUAGGAGCUUGCAAUUAUUCUCCUUGAACGAGGAAUUCCCAGUAAGCGCGAGUCAUAAGCUGGCGUUGAUUACGUCCCUGCCCUUUGUACACACCGCCCGUCGCUACUACCGAUUGGACGGUUUAGCGAGGCCCUCGGAUCGGUACCAGGACUCCGUCAGGAGUGACUGGCAACCGAGAAGGCGGUCGAACUUGACCGUCUAGAGGAAGUAAAAGUCGUAACA